CCUACGGGUGGCUGCAGUCGAGAAUCAUUCACAAUGGGGGAAACCCUGAUGGUGCGACGCCGCGUGGGGGAAUGAAGGUCUUCGGAUUGUAAGCCCCUGUCAUGGGGAAGCAAAUUACAAUGAUAGUACCACAAGAGGAAGAGACGGAUAACGCUGUGCCAGCAGCCGCGGUAAUGCAGAGGCCGCAAGCGUUGUUCGGAAUGACUGGGUGUAAAGGGUGCGGAGGCGGAAUCGUAAGUCGGGAGUGAAAGGCGGGGGCUCAACCCGCGGACGGCAUUGGAAACUGCGUGGCUAGGGUGCGGGAGGGGUAACCGGAAUUCCUGGUGUAGCGGUGAAAUGCGUAGAUAUCGGGAGGAACACUCGUGGCGAAGGCGGGUUCCUGGACUUUAACUGACGUUGAGGCACGAAGGCCAGGGGAGCGAAAGGGAUUAGAUACCCGUGUAGUC
rnacentral:rRNA from 1 species